GUGGGGAAUCUUCCGCAAUGGACGAAAGUCUGACGGAGCAAUGCCGCGUGAACGAUGACGGCCUUCGGGUUGUAAAGUUCUGUUAUACGGGACGAAUGGUACGACGGCCAAUACCCGUCGUAAGUGACGGUACCGUAAGAGAAAGCCACGGCUAACUACGUGCCAGCAGCCGCGGUAAUACGUAGGUGGCAAGCGUUGUCCGGAAUUAUUGGGCGUAACGGGCGCGCAGGCGGCGUCGUAAGUCGGUCUUAAAAGUGCGGGGCUUAACCCCGGGGGGGGACCGAAACUGCGAUGCUAGAGUAUCGGAGAGGAAAGCGGAAUUCCUAGUGUAGCGGUGAAAUGCGUAGAUAUUAGGAGGAACACCAGUGGCGAAAGCGGCUUUCUGGACGACAACUGACGCUGAGGCGCGAAAGCCAGGGGAGCAAACGGGAUUAGAAACCCCUGUAGUCC
rnacentral:rRNA from 1 species